GUGGCACUUGUUCAGGUGAAGUGUGUUGAUGUGGCACGUGUUCAGGUGAGGUGUGUUGAUGUGGCACUUGUUCAGGUGAAGUGUGUUGAUGUGGCACUUGUUCAGGUGAGGUGUGUUGACGUGGCACGUGUUCAGGUGAGGUGUGUUGAUGUGGCACUUGUUCAGGUGAGGUGUGUUGAUGUGGCACUUGUUCAGGUGAAGUGUGUUGAUGUGGCACUUGUUCAGGUGAGGUGUGUUGAUGUGGCACUUGUUCAGGUGAGGUGUGUUGAUGUGGCACUUGUUCAGGUGAAGUGUGUUGAUGUGGCACUUGUUCAGGUGAAGUGUGUUGAUGUGGAA
rnacentral:lncRNA from 1 species